GGUGGCUCAGUGGUAGAGCACUUGCCUUGCAUGCAUGAGGCCCUGGGUUCUUUUCCUCAGCACCA
rnacentral:tRNA from 1 species